rnacentral:tRNA from 1 species
GCCUUUGUGAUGUAAUGGUCAGCACACUCGGCGCGUAAUUCGAGAAGUCCGAGGUUUGAGUCCCGGCGAAAGCA